UACGUAGGGGGCAAGCGUUGUCCGGAAUCAUUGGGCGUAAAGAGCGCGUAGGCGGUCCGGUAAGUCCGCUCUGAAAGUCCGGGGCUCAACCCCGGGAGGCGGGCGGAUACUGUCGGGCUAGAGUCCGGAAGAGGCGAGUGGAAUUCCUGGUGUAGCGGUGAAAUGCGCAGAUAUCAGGAGGAAUACCGAUGGCGAAGGCAGGUCUCUGGGCUAACACUGACGCUCAUGCACGAAAGCGUGGGGAGCAAACAGG
rnacentral:rRNA from 1 species